ACCUUCAAUAUUUCUUUUGCCCUUAUUCCCCAAGAAGCCUCAAACAAAGCCUCAAGCAUAGUCUCUCCAAAAAUUCCAAAACCUCCCAAAUAUCCAAACCUUGUAAUCUUUGUUUAGGUCAAACAAGAGUUUAUCCCAAAUCCUGAUCCUGUGUUGGUCCUGCACUCAAGUGAAGAGCCUAUUAUCCUUCAAUUCCUAUACUAGCUUCAAGAAGCAAAAUAUUGAGAUGAGAAGCAUUUUGACCAUGAUGAAAAUAGUGAAUUUGGACCUAAACAUUGGGGAGAGCUGGAUCUUGAUUGGGCAGCUUGUAAAGAUGGAAAGAAGCAGUCAACCAAUAGAUAUAAAUCAUGAGAAUAUUGAAGAGAAUUUUAGUAUUGGAAGUUUGAUGACAUUUUAUGAUAGCACCUAUGCAAUUAUGCAAAAUAGUGGUCACUACAUAAUGAUUAACUGGACAGAAGGUGCAAGACCUAGUGCAGGAUUUCUUUUGAUUGAUGGCAAAAGCUAUGUUCUUCAACAAUGUCACUGGAACUCACCCUCUGAGCACAAAUUUUUUGGUGAG